rnacentral:lncRNA from 1 species
AGGGGUUUCCGCUUUUGCUUCUUCCUCAUUUUCUCUUGCUGCUGCCAUUUUCGCCUCCCGCCAUGAUUCUGAGGCCUCCCCAGCUAUGUGGAACUGUAAGUCCAGUUAAACCUCGUUUUCUUCCCAGUCUCAGGGUGAUGGAUCUCUGCAGUAAGUGGAAGAGUUCUUCAUGGCCCCCAAGGUUAUAUCCAUCUAGAACUUCAGCACGUAAUUUCAUCUGGAAAUAGUGCCUUUGCGGAUAUAAGUUAGGUAAAACUGAAGAUGAGAUCAUACUGGAUUAGGAUGGGAUCUAAAUCCAAUGAAAAUGUCUUCAUAAAAAACAGGAAAGAACCCAUAGAAACACAAGGAAGAAGGUCAUGUGAAGAUGGAGGCAGAGAUUGGAGGGAUGCAGCCACCGGCCCAGGAAUGCCAGCAGCCACCCAGAAGCUGGAAGGAAAUGAGGGAUUCUCUCCUAGAACCUUUAGAGAGAACAUGGUCCUGUGAACAGCUUGAUUUUGGACUUGCCCAUAGCUUGUAUACUCUUACUUUGGAUACAAUUUUAUCCAAACUUGGCUAAACAGUUUCUCAGCCUAUGGAAAAUUUAAAAUGGAGAAGAUUCAACUCGAUUCUUACAGAUUCAAAGCAAGAAAAUGAUGGGAACAUAGGAGGAGACCAAGAAAGCCUAUAAAAAGCAAAAAUAUGAAGUGAACAUUGUGGUAGCUUUAAGAUGUUUAGUGUAGCUGCAGGCACCCUAUACACAUGAAAACCCCCAAGGGGAAUCCCCAUAUCACAGUGUAGUGUGAUAUUUGACAUUCGUGAUCAUCUAGAGAUGUACAGAAAAGGUGAAUCUGUGUUCUGUAUAUUCUGCCUAAGGCAAAGAAAUGUUUAGCUCUCUUUAAAAUAGUUCCAUAAUUUUUUCUAAAAAGCUUUGCUUGAAAACUGUAAGCUUCCCAUAUCUGGAGCAUUUCACUUUAAAUAUUUGGAUAAAUAUGUUAUCUUCUUACUUGGACAUUUCAUGUGUUUAGGGAUUGUCUUCUAAAUUCUUCCUAAUUCAUAUAGCUGCUAACACUUCCCGCAGAGCUAAACCAUUACAGAUAUGAAAUAAAGACCUAUUGAUUUGACUUACUUUUACUUGUAAAACCUUCUGAGUGUUAUAACCUCAUUUAAUCUUUCAGCAUUUACAGUUUCAAGAGUUUGUGUCACAAUUAGAAGAAUUCAGCUGCACCUCCAAGUGACAGCAGUUGCUCUGGUUGGUGGGUGAUCUCAGGAGGCUUGAGAAUUGCUUUGUCUGUGAGGGAAGUAAGACAUUUUCAGAGCCCCACUUUAGAAGGUGUGAACUGGCUAGAUAAUGAACCCCAGGGCUAACGCUGCUAUAGCAGUGGGAAGGAGGUGAUGGGUUUUCAGUUUGGACCUCAAACAUCAAUACCCUCCUGGUACGGGGAGGAACAGAGUCCCUCCUUUACUUCUCCAUUAGAAAGAAUGAGAUGGCAAGACAAUGAAACAGGCAAAGUGAACAGAGAUGCAAGACAAAAUUCAGGUGAGAGAGCCAGAGCAUCACUCAGCCAUUCCUGACAUGUAAAACAGGCAACUAGAAAUUUGCAGAAAGGAAGCGAAGUCUCCAUAAAGAUGUUUUUAAAGUGAGCUUGAAGUAUUUGGAGACAAUUCAGUGUUACAUAAAAUCUGCAAAUCUCUGGAUAAAGAAGCAGAGAUCCCAGCAUGGGACAAAUGGAGCCUCAAAAGUGGGAAGAAGACAGAGAAGACCAGGGCAGAAUGCAUCUCUUCCUUUCUCUUGGCUUUCCUGGAUAAGGACUGCAUCAUUCCUGUGGAAGGACAGGCCAUCAGCUCCGAAACACUGUAUGUAUUUUCCAGUAUAUACUGCUAGCUGUGUGAUGUUGGGAAAAUUUGUUACCCUGUCUAACCCCCACUUCCCUCAUCUGUAAAAUGGAAAUAAUGAUAGUACCUACCUAUCUCAUAGGUGGCAACUACAAGGGGCAGCACACUCAGGGAAUUAAGGAAGUUUCAGUGAACAUCAACUUUAUGAACACAGUGUUCAUAAAGGCAGGUCAGUGCAGUGGUUUGGGAGCCAGGAGAAGCACGUGGGCCGGAGUGUGCCUGCAGGAGACAAGGUCAGAGAUGUUGCUAAUAAUGGAGAAUAAAGGAUGCAUUCUCAUUA